GACGAACGCUGGCGGCGUGCUUAACACAUGCAAGUCGAACGGUAAGGCCCUUCGGGGUACACGAGUGGCGAACGGGAGAGUAACACGUGGGUGAUCUGCCCUGCACUUCGGGAUAAGCCUGGGAAACUGGGUCUAAUACCGGAUAGGACCCUGGGAUGCAUGUCCUGGGGUGGAAAGCUUUUGCGGUGUGGGAUGGGCCCGCGGCCUAUCAGCUUGUUGGUGGGGUGAUGGCGUACCAAGGCGACGACGGGUAGCCGGCCUGAGGGGGUGACCGGCAACACUGGGACUGAGAUACGGCCCAGACUCCUACGGGAGGCAGCAGUGGGGAAUAUUGCACAAUGGGCGCAAGCCUGAUGCAGCGACGCCGCGUGAGGGAUGACGGCCUUCGGGUUGUAAACCUCUUUCAGCACCGACGAAGCGCAAGUGACGGUAGGUGCAGAAGAAGGACCGGCCAACUACGUACCAGCAGCCGCCGUAA
rnacentral:rRNA from 1 species